rnacentral:rRNA from 1 species
AUUGAACGCUGGCGGAAUGCUUUACACAUGCAAGUCGAACGGCAGCACGGACUUCGGUCCGGUGGCGAGUGGCGAACGGGUGAGUAAUGUAUCGGAACGUGCCCAGUCGUGGGGGAUAACGUAGUGAAAAUUACGCUAAUACCGCAUACGAUCUAUGGAUGAAAGCGGGGGAUCGCAAGACCUCGCGCGAUUGGAGCGGCCGAUAUCAGAUUAGGUAGUUGGUGGGGUAAAGGGCCACCAAGCCAACGAUCUGUAGCUGGUCUGAGAGGACGACCAGCCACACUGGAACUGAGACACGGUCCAGACUCCUACGGGAGGCAGCAGUGGGGAAUUUUGGACGAUGGGCGAAAGCCUGAUCCAGCCAUUCCGCGUGCAGGAUGAAGGCCCUCGGGUUGUAAACUGCUUUUGUACAGAACGAAAAGGUUUCUACUAAUACUAGGAGCUCAUGACGGUACUGUAAGAAUAAGCACCGGCUAACUACGUGCCAGCCGCCGCGGUAA